rnacentral:snRNA from 1 species
GGAUGUGAGGGCGAUCUGGCUGCGACAUCUGUCACCCCAUUGAUCACCAGGGUUGAUUUGGCUGAUCUGGCUGGGAGGCAGGUGUUCCCUUCCUCCCUCACUGCUCCAUGUGCCUCCCUCCUGAAGCUGUGCACUUGGUCGAAGAGGACGACCUUCCCCAAAUAGUGGAGGACUGAUGUUUGGUCAAGACUGUGCUCCCCUGCUAGAACCCCCAAACAAGCUCUCAAGGUCCUAAAAAAGCAAAACAAGGUUUGCUACAAAC